rnacentral:rRNA from 1 species
UACGUAGGGGGCAAGCGUUGUCCGGAUUUAUUGGGCGUAAAGAGCGUGUAGGCGGCCAUACAGGUCAGCUGUGAAAACUCGAGGCUCAACCUCGAGACGUCGGUUGAAACCGUAUGGCUAGAGUCCGGAAGAGGAGAGUGGAAUUCCCGGUGUAGCGGUGAAAUGCGCAGAUAUCGGGAAGAACACCCGUGGCGAAGGCGGCUCUCGUGGGACGGUACUGACGCUGAGACGCGAAAGCGUGGGGAGCGAACGAGG